UUGGAGGGCAAGUCUGGUGCCAGCAGCCGCGGUAAUUCCAGCUCCAAUAGCGUAUAUUAAAGUUGUUGCAGUUAAAAAGCUCGUAGUUGAAUUUCGGGGUUCAUACGUUGGUCGGGCUUUUUGGUCUGUACUAGCGUAAUGGAUUCCUACCUUCUGAAGAACCGGCAUGUCAUUAAUUUGGUGCGCCGGGGAAGCAGGACUGUUACCUUGAAAAAAUUAGAGUGCUUAAAGCAGGCUAUCGCCUGAAUACAUUAGCAUGGAAUAAUGAAAUAGGACGGCAUGGUUCUAUUUUGUUGGUUUCUAGGAUCACCGUAAUGAUUAAUAGGGAUAGUUGGGGGCAUUAGUAUUCAAUUGUCAGAGGUGAAAUUCUUGGAUUUAUUGAAGACUAACUUCUGCGAAAGCAUUUGCCAAGGAUGUUUUCAUUAAUCAAGAACGAAAGUUAGGGGAUCGAAGACGAUCAGAUACCGUCGUAGUCUUAACCAUAAACUAUGCCGACUAGGGAUCGGACGAUGUUAAUUUUUUAAUGACUCGUUCGGCGCCUUACGGGAAAC
rnacentral:rRNA from 1 species